GGAGGAGGAGGAUGAAGAGGAGUUUGAAGAGCACAGUGAAGAGGAGGAGGAGGAGGAUGAAGAGAAAGAGGAUGGCAGACGGCCAGUGGUGGAGCAAUGGAGCAGAGCUGGCCGUAUUUGGUGUUCCUGGUCCAUCGAGGUGCCAAACAGCACAAACCCCGAGCAGUGAGGUCCUGCCAGAGGAUGCUCAGAGGAUGAGAUCUGUAUCAGCCCGACAGUGGGUGCACAGCACAGUUGGCCAACAGCCGGUUGAGCCCUGGUGUUGCUGGAGCACAGGGGUGAGGAGGGAGCCUGGCACAGGAACUUCGAAGGGCAGGUGAAUCUGUCCAAAUGCUCUUUUGUGUCUGCCACCGGCACUGCUUUUCAGGUCAAGGGAGCAGCUCACACCUCAUUUCAUCAUUCUGCAAGUUCCCACCUGCCAUUAUUAAUACCUCACAAAAAGUCUGAGGUAUGUAAGCUCUGAAGUUGCUGCCAAAGAGUUCUGGGAAUUGCAAUCCUCAGCGUUCUUGUGCUUCAGGAAUCUGUUGGUUGGCAGCUCAGGGCUCGGUGGUCACACCUUGCUGUGCCAUGGCGCCACAGCCAGCCCGGCUGGAAGCAGUGGAGGGGACAGAACACUGUUGGGUGGGGAAUUACAAAGGCUUCCAUUCUCUCUGGUCAACAAUAAAAUGAUUUUUUCCUGUUAA